GAGGAAUAUUGGUCAAUGGGCGGGAGCCUGAACCAGCCAAGUAGCGUGCAGGAUGACGGCCCUAUGGGUUGUAAACUGCUUUUGUAUGGGGAUAAAGUCAAUCACGUGUGAUUGUCUGCAGGUACCAUACGAAUAAGGACCGGCUAAUUCCGUGCCAGCAGCCGCGGUAAUACGGAAGGUCCGGGCGUUAUCCGGAUUUAUUGGGUUUAAAGGGAGCGUAGGCCGGAGAUUAAGUGUGUUGUGAAAUGUAGACGCUCAACGUCUGACUUGCAGCGCAUACUGGUUUCCUUGAGUACGCACAACGUUGGCGGAAUUCGUCGUGUAGCGGUGAAAUGCUUAGAUAUGACGAAGAACUCCGAUUGCGAAGGCAGCUGACGGGAGCGCAACUGACGCUUAAGCUCGAAGGUGCGGGUAUCGAACAGGAUUAGAUACCCUGGUAGUCCGCACAGUAAACGAUGGAUGCCCGCUGUUGGUACCUGGUAUCAGCGGCUAAGCGAAAGCAUUAAGCAUCCCACCUGGGGAGUACGCCGGCAACGGUG
rnacentral:rRNA from 1 species